GGGGGAUUAGCUCAGUUGACUAGAGCACCUGCUUUGCACGCAGGGGGUCAACGGUUUGAAUCCGUUAUCCUCCA
rnacentral:tRNA from 1 species